rnacentral:rRNA from 1 species
GAUGAACGCUGGCGGCGUGCCUAAUACAUGCAAGUCGAGCGAAUGGAUUAAGAGCUUGCUCUUAUGAAGUUAGCGGCGGACGGGUGAGUAACACGUGGGUAACCUGCCCAUAAGACUGGGAUAACUCCGGGAAACCGGGGCUAAUACCGGAUAAAAUUUUGAACCGCAUGGUUCGAAAUUGAAAGGAGGCUUCGGCUGUCACUUAGGGAUGGACCCGCGUCGCAUUGGCUAGUUGGUGAGGUAACGGCUCACCAAGGCAACGAUGCGUAGCCGACCUGAGAGGGUGAUCGGCCACACUGGGACUGAGACACGGCCCAGACUCCUACGGGAGGCAGCAGUAGGGAAUCUUCCGCAAUGGACGAAAGUCUGACGGAGCAACGCCGCGUGAGUGAUGAAGGCUUUCGGGUCGUAAAACUCUGUUGUUAGGGAAGAACAAGUGCUAGUUGAAUAAGCUGGCACCUUGACGGUACCUAACCAGAAAGCCACGGCUAACUACGUGCCAGCAGCCGCCGUAA